rnacentral:rRNA from 1 species
GUUGGUAGUGUAAUGGACUACCAAGGCUAUGACGGGUAGGGGGUGUGAGAGCACGGCCCCCAACAUUGGGACUGAGAACUGCCCAAACUCCUACGGGAGGCUGCAGUCGAGAAUAUUCCACAAUGGACGAAAGUCUGAUGGAGCGACGCCGCGUGCAGGAUGAAGGCCUUCGGGUCGUAAACUGCUUUUGUAAGGGAAGAAUGCAAAUGACGGUACCUUACGAAUAAGAGGUUACUAACUCUGUGCCAGCAGUAGCGGUAAUACAGAGACCUCAAGCGUUAUCCGGAUUUAUUGGGCGUAAAGAGCUGGUAGGUGGUUAUAUUAGUCAGAUGUCAAAUCUUCGAGCUCAACUCGAAAACUGCAUUUGAAACGGUAUAACUAGAGGGUGUGAGAGAUCUAUGGAACUCAUGGUGUAGCAGUGAAAUGCGUUGAUAUCAUGAGGAACACCAAAGGCGAAGGCAUUAGAUUGGCACACUCCUGACACUGAGCAGCGAAAGCGUGGGUAGCGAAUGGGAUUAGAUACCCCAGUAGUCCACGCCCUAAACGAUGUAUAUUAGGCAUUGGAAGUAUCGACCCUUUCAGUGUCGUAGCUAACGCGUUAAAUAUACCGCCUGGGAAGUACGGCCGCAAGGCUAAAACUCAAAGGAAUAGACGGGGAUCCGCACAAGUAGAGGAUCAUGUGGUUCAAUUCGACGAUAAGCGAGGAACCUCACCAGGGUUUGAAACUAAGCUGCACGGCUCAGAAAUGAGUCAGCCUUCGAGGGUGCUUAGCAGGUGCUGCAUGGUUGUCGUCAGCUCGUGCCGUAAGGUGUUCCGUUAAGUCGGGAAACGAGCGCAACCCCUGUCGCGUGUUAUACAUGUCACGCGAGACUGCCCAGACUUUUGCACAUUAGCGAAAAGCUAGUGAAUAAAAGUCUGGGAGGAAGGAGGGGAUGACGUCAAAUCAGCAUGGCCCUUUGACACCCUGGGCGACACACGUGAUACAAUGGCCGGUACAGAGGGUUGCCAAGCCGCGAGGCGGAGCCAAUCCCAAAAAACCGGUCCCAGUUCGGAUAAGAGUCUGCAACUCGACUCUUUGAAGUUGGAUUUACUAGUAAUCGGGGAUCAGAACGCCCCGGUGAAUACGUUCUCGGAUCUUGUACUCACCGCCCGUCACACCAAGAGAGUUGGUAACACCCGAAGGCCCCGUGUUAAACCGGGGACAACGGUGGGAUCGAUGAUAAGGGUGAAGUCGUAACAAGGCAUCCGUAGCGGAAGCUGUGGAUGGAUCACCUCCUUUCUA